CGGUUGAUCCUGCCGGACCCGACUGCUAUUUGGGUGAGGAUAAGCCAUGCGAGUCGAAUGGGAUACCUAAAUUUCCCAUGGCAAACUGCUCAGUAACACAUGAUCAACUUACCCUACGGAGAAAAAUAACCUCAGGAAACUGAGGAUAAUGUUUCAUAGUUGAAUAGGCUUGGAAAAGUUAUUCAACAAAAGGAAUAAGAACAAUGGUUCUUAUUCGCCGUAGGAUAGGAUCGUGUUCGAUUAUGGUAGUUGGUGAGGUAACGGCUCACCAAGCCGAUAAUCGAUAGGGGCCGUGAGAGUGGGAGCCCCGAGAUGGGUACUGAGACAACGGCCCAGGCCUUACGAGGCGCAGCAGGCGCGAGACCUCCGCAAUACACGAAAGUGUGACGGGGUUACCCAAAGUGUUCAUAUUGAACUGUGGUAGGUGAGUAAUGUCCCCUACUAGAAAGGAGAGGGCAAGGCUGGUGCCAGCCGCCGCGGUAAAACCAGCUCUUCAAGUGGUCGGGAUAAUUAUUGGGCUUAAAGUGUCCGUAGCCGGUUUAGUAAGUUCCUGGUAAAAUCGGGUAGCUUAACUAUCUGUAUGCUAGGAAUACUGCUAUACUAGAGGGCGGGAGAGGUCUGAGGUACUACAGGGGUAGGGGUGAAAUCUUAUAAUCCUUGUAGGACCACCAGUGGCGAAGGCGUCAGACUGGAACGCGCCUGACGGUGAGGGACGAAAGCCAGGGGAGCGAACCGGAUUAGAUACCCGGGUAGUCCUGGCCGUAAACGAUGCAUACUAGGUGAUGGCAUGGCUAUGAGCCGUGUCAGUGCCGUAGGGAAACCGUUAAGUGUGCCGCCUGGGAAGUACGGUCGCAAGGCUAAAACUUAAAGGAAUUGGCGGGGGAGCAC
rnacentral:rRNA from 1 species